CGAACGUUAGCGGCGCGCCUAACACAUGCAAGUCGAACGGGCUGUAGCAAUACAGUCAGUGGCGCACGGGUGAGUAACGCGUAGAUAAUCUACCUUCCGGCGGGGAUAACAUUCCGAAAGGAAUGCUAAUACCGCAUAAGACCACGGGGUCCUCGGGCCCUGAGGGAAAAGGUGGCCUCUCCUUGGAAGCCAUCACCGGAAGAUGAGUCUGCGUCCCAUCAGCUAGUUGGUAAGGUAAUGGCUUACCAAGGCGAAGACGGGUAGCUGGUCUGAGAGGAUGAUCAGCCACACUGGUACUGGAACACGGACCAGACUCCUACGGGAGGCAGCAGUGGGGAAUAUUGGGCAAUGGGCGAAAGCCUGACCCAGCCACGCCGCGUGAGUGAUGAAGGCCUUCGGGUUGUAAAAGCUCUGUGGGAAGGGGCGAAAAACUCAGACCUAAUACGUCUGAGGUUGACGGUACCUUCUUAGCAAGCACCGGCUAACUCUGUGCCAGCAGCCGC
rnacentral:rRNA from 1 species